rnacentral:rRNA from 1 species
UGGGGAAUUUUGGACAAUGGGGGAAACCCUGAUCCAGCCAUCCCGCGUGUGCGAUGAAGGCCUUCGGGUUGUAAAGCACUUUUGGCAGGAAAGAAACGUCAUGGGUUAAUACCCCGUGAAACUGACGGUACCUGCAGAAUAAGCACCGGCUAACUACGUGCCAGCAGCCGCGGUAAUACGUAGGGUGCAAGCGUUAAUCGGAAUUAGUGGGCGUAAAGCGUGCGCAGGCGGUUCGGAAAGAAAGAUGUGAAAUCCCAGAGCUCAACUUUGGAACUGCAUUUUUAACUACCGGGCUAGAGUGUGUCAGAGGGAGGUGGAAUUCCGCGUGUAGCAGUGAAAUGCGUAGAUAUGCGGAGGAACACCGAUGGCGAAGGCAGCCUCCUGGGAUAACACUGACGCUCAUGCACGAAAGCGUGGGGAGCAAACAGG